CUACGGGCUGCUCCAGUGGGGAAUAUUGCACAAUGGGCGCAAGCCUGAUGCAGCCAUGCCGCGUGUAUGAAGAAGGCCUUCGGGUUGUAAAGUACUUUCAGCGGGGAGGAAGGGAGUAAAGUUAAUACCUUUGCUCAUUGACGUUACCCGCAGAAGAAGCACCGGCUAACUCCGUGCCAGCAGCCGCGGUAAUACGGAGGGUGCAAGCGUUGAUCGGAAUUACUGGGCGUAAAGUGCACGCAGGCGGUUUGUUAAGUCAGAUGUGGAAUCCCCGGGCUCAACCUGGGAACUGCAUCUGAUACUGGCAAGCUUGAGUCUCGUAGAGGGGGGUAGAAUUCCAGGUGUAGCGGUGAAAUGCGUAGAGAUCUGGAGGAAUACCGGUGGCGAAGGCGGCCCCCUGGACGAAGACUGACGCUCAGGUGCGAAAGCGUGGGGAGCAAACAGGAUUAGAUACCCUCGUAGUC
rnacentral:rRNA from 1 species